GACGAACCGUGCGAACGUUAUUCGGAAUCACUGGGCUUAAAGGGCGCGUAGGCGGGCGGCCAGGUCCGGGGUGAAAGCCCCCAGCUCAACUGGGGAAGUGCCUUGGAUACCGGCCGCCUCGAGGGAGGCAGGGGCGUGCGGAACUUCGGGUGGAGCGGUGAAAUGCGUUGAUAUCUGCAGGAACACCCGUGGCGAAAGCGGCGCGCUGGACCACUACUGACGCUGAGGAACGAAAGCUAGGGGAGCAAACAGG
rnacentral:rRNA from 1 species